GUGGGCGUAGCUCAGAUGGUAGAGCGCUCGCUUAGUAUGCGAGAGGUACGUGGAUCGAUACCCCGCGCCUCCA
rnacentral:tRNA from 1 species